GUGUACUAGCUGUUGGGGCUGAGAGCUGGGACCUAGAGGGAAAAUCAGAUCUUCAAAAAGCUCCCUAGACUUAAUUUCAUGUUUGCCCCGGGUUUUAUCAAGAUAGGUGUGGGGAUAGGCUUGAUUUCUAUUACAAAUGAUGUAACAUUGCAUAUGUUAGUACUCCUAACACUUCUUGGGACUGUGCCUCAGGGAUCACAAUCUGUACAAGUUUAGAAGUUCUAAAAGCUAGUCAUGACCUUGGUGUGCAGGUUUAGAUAGUGUCCAGAUUGGAAUCCUGAUGCUAGAGACUUAGUAAGAAAAAAAAAAAAAAGAGUUGAGAAUUACUUAAGGCUAUCUAGGUGCUGCAAGGGCAGCACAAGGACAUCUGCCAUUGCCCUGCAAUGCAAGGUUUAUAGAGAAUUCAGAACUGCCAUUGACUCAGAUAUAAAAAGAGUGAAAGACUUUUUAGCUGACCUCCAAGAAUACCUAACCUCCCUCUCAGAGGUAGUCCUUCAGAAUAGGAGAAGAUUAGACCUGAUAUUCCUUAAAGAAGGAACCUGUGUGCUACACUGAAAGAAUGUUGUUUCUAUGCAGACCAUACAGGAUUAGUGAGAGAUAACAUGGCUAAGCUCCGAGAACGCUUGGCCCAGAGACAGAAGCUGUUUGAUUCCCAACAAGGCUGGUUCGAGGGGUGGUUUAACCGAUCCCCUUGGUUUGCUACCCUGGUGUCCACCUUGAUGGGACCCUUAAUCAUCCUCCUCCUAAUCUUCCUCUUUGGCCCCUGCAUUCUAAACAGAUUGAUGCAGUUCAUAAAGAACAGACUCUCAGUCAUUCAGACGCUUGUUCUCACCCAACAAUACCAGAGGGUAAGACAACAGGAAGAGAUUCCUUAGAAUUCGAUUUGAGUAAAGGAUUUUACUCAAGUCUAAAAGAAAAUGGGGGAAAAUGAAAGACCCACCCCAUGAGUCUUAACUCAGAGUUGCAACAGGCUUGAACGAGCCCAGGCACGCCCAGAUACCUAGGGCCGAGUCACCGUGAAAACUAACAGACCAUAAAAGGAAAGGAAUGAAGAACAGACCAGGAGUACCACUCACAGGCCACCUGGCAGGAAGAGAUAAGCCCCCAGCCCCCGACAUCCAGGAUGCCCCAAACCUGCCAAUGUGUGUAGCUAUACCUUAUUACCUCAUCAUGUG
rnacentral:lncRNA from 1 species